rnacentral:rRNA from 1 species
UACGGAGGGUGCAAGCGUUAAUCGGAAUUACUGGGCGUAAAGCGCACGUAGGCGGUGCGGUAAGUCAGGGGUUAAAGGCUGCAGCUCAACUGCAGUAAGGCCUUUGAUACUAUCGUGCUAGAGUGUCAGAGAGGAUGGCGGAAUUCCCGGUGUAGCGGUGAAAUGCGUAGAUAUCGGGAGGAACGCCGGUGGCGAAGGCGGCUUCCUGGCCCGUUACUGACGCUGAGGCACGAAAGCCAGGGGAGCGAACCGG